rnacentral:rRNA from 1 species
UACGGAGGGUGCAAGCGUUAAUCGGAAUUACUGGGCGUAAAGCGUGCGCAGGCGGUUUGUUAAGUCUGCUGUGAAAUCCCCGAGCUCAACUUGGGAAUUGCAGUGGAUACUGGCAAGCUGGAGUACGGUAGAGGAAGGUGGAAUUCCCGGUGUAGCAGUGAAAUGCGUAGAGAUCGGGAGGAACACCCAUUGCGAAGGCAGCUUACUACGGAUUGAUUGACACUGAGGCACGAAAGCGUGGGGAUCAAACAGG